GGCUUCGCUCGCGGCCUCGGUUGACGCGUUCGGAGCCCGCGAGCGAUGCCUAGGGUGGCGCGGGUUUUGCCACCACCAGGGUCACAGAGCAGCCAGGUGUUUUAAUAUGGUUUUAGGGGUAAGUUUAAAAUAGAAACAAAGGCCUUUAAACGAAGAAAUCACUACUUUUUGCCCUUGCCGUGGAUGGGAGGCCAGCAUCGUAGCACUUAAGGGUUUUUUGGCUGGGAAAUCAGGGAGAAUUUUUGCCCCCAAUCUCUAGGAACUAAGCUUUAAGGACCCUGAGUUUUGGAGAAAGCUUCAGGUUUCCUCUUACUCGACCCAGUCUUUGUAAAGAAUGGGAGGCAGCUGUCAGAAGAAAAAACUUUAAACCCACCAAGUAUAGCAGUAUUUGUUCAGAGCACUUUACUCCAGACUGCUUUAAGAGAGAGUGCAACAACAAGUUACUGAAAGAAAACGCUGUGCCCACAAUAUUUCU
rnacentral:sRNA from 1 species